UGCUUACUAUUUAUUAGAUAGCAAGUUUUCUUCUCUUGCGAAAGAGCUUUACAACCCGAAGGCCUUCUUCACUCACGCGGAAUGGCUGGAUCAGGGUUGCCCCCAUUGUCCAAAAUUCCCCACUGCUGCCUCCCGUAGGAGUCUGGACCGUGUCUCAGUUCCAGUGUGGCUGAUCGUCCUCUCAGACCAGCUACUGAUCGUCGCCUUGGUAGGCCAUUACCCCACCAACAAGCUAAUCAGAUAUCGGCCGCUCUAAUAACGCAAGGUCCGAAGAUCCCCUGCUUUCACCCGUAGGUCGUAUGCGGCAUUAGCUAACCUUUCAGCUAGUUAUUCCCCAUUACUAGGCACGUUCCGAUAUAUUACUCACCCGUUCGCCACUCGCCAUCAGAGAGCAAGCUCUCUAUGCUGCCGUUCGACUUGCAUGUGUAAAGCAUUCCGCCAGCGUUCAAUCUGAGCCAUGAUCAAACUCU
rnacentral:rRNA from 1 species